rnacentral:lncRNA from 1 species
UCUCAGCUCUGCCUGUGCCAUGCCUGCCUGGAUCCUGCCAUGCUCCUGCCUUGAUGAUAAUGGACUGAACCUCUGAACCUGAAAUCACAACCAAUAGGUUGGAGGGGAGUUGAAGUCAAACAGAACAAAAGAUCAAGGUUGUCCAUGGGAGCUUUCUCCACCACCCUGAAAUCUAGUUCAAAAACAGGGUUUUGUCCCAGAGUCCUUCAUCAGAAGCCCUGCCUAAGACAGAAGUGAACCUCUAGUGUGAAAAGGAAAAGUCACAAUGGAAAAUACCCGAACAUUGCAAAACAAGAGAAGACAAGGCAAAAGCCCUCAUUUGAAAGAUGGACAAGGCAACCCAAU